rnacentral:rRNA from 1 species
AUUAAACGCUGGCGGCAUGCCUUACACAUGCAAGUCGAACGGCAGCACGGGGGCAACCCUGGUGGCGAGUGGCGAACGGGUGAGUAAAGCAUCGGAACGUGCCCUGGAGUGGGGGAUAACGUAGCGAAAGUUACGCUAAUACCGCAUAUUCUGUGAGCAGGAAAGCAGGGGAUCGCAAGACCUUGCGCUCUGGGAGCGGCCGAUGUCGGAUUAGCUAGUUGGUGGGGUAAAGGCCUACCAAGGCGACGAUCCGUAGCGGGUCUGAGAGGAUGAUCCGCCACACUGGGACUGAGACACGGCCCAGACUCCUACGGGAGGCAGCAGUGGGGAAUUUUGGACAAUGGGCGCAAGCCUGAUCCAGCCAUGCCGCGUGAGUGAAGAAGGCC